rnacentral:rRNA from 1 species
UAGAGCUUGAUCAUGGCUCAGAUUGAACGCUGGCGGCAGGCCUAACACAUGCAAGUCGAGCGGUAGAGAGAAGCUUGCUUCUCUUGAGAGCGGCGGACGGGUGAGUAAUGCCUAGGAAUCUGCCUGGUAGUGGGGGAUAACGUUCGGAAACGGACGCUAAUACCGCAUACGUCCUACGGGAGAAAGCAGGGGACCUUCGGGCCUUGCGCUAUCAGAUGAGCCUAGGUCGGAUUAGCUAGUUGGUGAGGUAAUGGCUCACCAAGGCAACGAUCCGUAACUGGUCUGAGAGGAUGAUCAGUCACACUGGAACUGAGACACGGUCCAGACUCCUACGGGAGGCAGCAGUGGGGAAUAUUGGACAAUGGGCGAAAGCCUGAUCCAGCCAUGCCGCGUGUGUGAAGAAGGUCUUCGGAUUGUAAAGCACCUUUAAGUUGGGAGGAAGGGCCAUUACCUAAUACGUGAUGGUUUUGACGUACCGACAG